GACGAACGCUGGCGGCGUGCCUAAUACAUGCAAGUAGGACGCAGUUGCGAACGGGAGAGUAAAGCGUAGGUAACUGCCUAUUAGAGGGGGAUAACUAUGGGAAACGAUAGCUAAUACCGCAUACUAGUAGAUGGACCUGCGUUGUAUUAGCUAGUAGGUAGGGUAAUGGCCUACCGAGGCGACGAUACAUAGCUGACCUGAGAGGGUGGUCGGGCACCCUGGGCCUGAGCCACGGCCCAUACUCCUCCGGGAGCCAGCAGUAGGGAAUCUUCGGCAAUGGGUGGAACCCUGACCGAGCCACGCCGCGUGAGUGAAGAAGGUUUUCGGAUCGUAAAGCUCUGUUGUUAAGGCAGCGGUACUUAACCAGAAAGGGACGGCUAACUACGUGCCAGCAGCCGCGGUAAUAC
rnacentral:rRNA from 1 species